AGGUGUGUGACCCAGCAGUGCGCACGACGCAUGCGUCUUUCCUCCGCCCUGCUAAAGUCCGGAAGGGCAACUGCUAUGAUUGUGCACCCUCCAGGUUGUGUUACCUUGGUCUCUCUCAAGUCUUGAAGACCGCAAGCAAGGGAGGGACAGAGAGAAAGGGGGACAGAGACUCUGAAGCAGGCUCUGUGCUAACAGCAGUGAGCAUUAUGUGGGGGUGGAAGUCACGAACCCUGAGAUCAUGACCUCUGAGCCAAGGUCAGAAGUUCAAUGGACUGAGCCACCCACGUGUCCUGCAGCUCAGCACUUAGGUGGACUGCUUUCCUCAACUUUGCUUAUAAAAGAAAUAAAUGGCUCCUACCCUCAAGAAGCUUACCAUUUAGAAGAAUAGACAAGCAAAUGUGUGUACAACAAGUAAAAUGAUGUUCAAGAUAUAUGAUUGACUGGGUGAGGAAGCAGCAAAAGGAAGACAAUACUUCACUGGAAACUAGAGUGCCUGGGUGGCUCAGUUGGUUGCGUCCAACUUUGGCUCAGGUCAUGAUUCUGCACUUCGUGGGUUCAAGCCCUGCGUCGGGCUCUGUGCUGACAGCUCGGAGCCUGGAGCCUGCUUCGGAUUCUUUGCCUCACUUUCUCCCUCUCUCUCUGCCUUUCCCCUGCAUGCUCUCUGUCUCCCAAAAAUAAAUAAGUAUAAAAAAAUACUUGAUUUUUCCUUUAUUUCUAUUUUUAUUACUAAAUGGACACUUAGGUAUAUAUGUAAGUAGCUAUUAUGGAGAAAUAAUUAGGUUAUAAUAUCAAAACCAUGUUUAUUUUAUAGCACUGGACUUAAUUCUGUGUCUCCACUCAGGUGAAGUUGCUUAAGAUCUUUUUUCUGUCUUCAGCACAUUACUGAAAUAAUUGUCAAAGUUUAGUGAAAUUUGUAAAUAGAAAUUGAUGUUCUAUAGCAUUAAUUUAUAUACACACUUACCCUUUAGUGUCAUAGCUCUUGAAGCAAAGCAGAGGGGGAGGUGAAAGCAUUUUGCAUUAUUAGUCUUCAGAGGACUAUAGAAGUAGAGCAAGGAAGGGAAGCAAAUAAAGUUGCUCUGGUUUUUUUUCAGGGCUGCUUUUCUCCUAUGACUUCCUGAAUCCAUAAAAUAAAGAAAUAUCACACUUUUGAGUAUCUGCGGGUCCUCUGACCCUAGGCAAUCUUAUUUUUAAGAUUUUAGAGAGUUUAGGAGAAAGUUGUUAGAAGAAUUUUAUUUUUAGUUAUGACAUUGUUUCUUGUUUCUCUUCCAUUUCUGCCGUUUCUUUUGCCCAUGAGCUCUUCUUAUUUCUAAUUUAGUCUGAUAGUAUUAGAACUUACUUCAACCAACCAGUUCAAUUUAGAAAAACCCAUGGGGAUGGUAUAAACAAAGUUUUAGAAAAGUAUGACAAUAAUCAUCAACCCAAAUGAACCCAAUUCUCCUGUUACAUUCUAUCAGUUCCUAAAUGUGUUUUAUAAACGAUGCUUCUUUCCCUGGGAGUAAAAACUCUUCUCUACGAUACUUUUUUUUUUUUUUUAAAUAAUCUAUGAAUUUCCAUAGGGGAGAAUAAAUGUUUUUAAAAAUUGCUUUUAAAAGGAAAUGUGCCAGGAGAUCAACAGGGGCAACUCUUUUCAAUGAUUCUGUGCUUACAUGAUAUGACAGUUUAUUUCCCAGCAAGAGUUAGGGCAUUUAGAUGUUUAGUAACCAUAAUGCAUUAGCUUCCCAGUGAGUUCAGGACUUAAUCAGGACUUAAUCACGUGCUAGUGAAUGCAGGCUUAAUAGUAAUAUAUACUGAGGCCUUAGCAUCUCAGGCUGGGUGAAAAAAGGAGGAAGUAAAUAUCCAGCCUUGAUGGGGGCAGAAAUAUGAAUACAGUUGUUACAGAGCUAAGUCUUGCAGUAAUUAUCUGCAUAUUAUCUGAAUGGCCCGGUAAAGUUAUGGAUAUGGAAAUUGUGGUUAAAUGAUAGAGCCUUAUGCUUCACCCAGGUUCAGCAACAUGAUAAGUCUAGCUGCCACCAGCGGUGUCCUGGUCCAGGUGAUCUGCCCACUGUGGAGAAUUCUGGCCAUUGUUUGGGUUUGGGGUGAGGCUGUACAGUGGUGCCAUUCAUCAUCUUAAGGUGACAGCAAGGGUUAAGGAAAACGAGAUAUCAGUACCAAGCAAAGAAGGUGUUCAGGUGAAUAUUCCUUUGCUAUUUGAGAGGUGGUACUGAAAUCAGAAUUGGAGGUAGGAUCACAGGUUUGUGUAUAUUAGCUCAUUCCUGCUGAGAAGUUGGUGUAGUCUGUGGCUGUACUGGACUGAUGUCAUAUACUGUGUGUACUCUGAGAAAUCAGUUAUGAUUCUCACAGAAUUGUAGGCAGAGGAGACUGGAGACAAGUCUUUUUCACACCACUCAUUGCCAUGCUUCCAUGAGAUCCUUAUGGACCCUUGGAACACAGUAGCAAGAUGAGUAAUUUUAGGAAAAGAUAGCUGGAAUAUGUAAGCAUCAAUUUUAUAGCUCUUCAAAUAAGCUUGAUUUAAUCAAGUUAUUUUACAUUAGAAAUCCAGCCAACACGGGCACCUGGGUGGCUCAGUCGGUUUAAGUGUCCAACUCUUGGUUUGGGCUCAGGUCAUGAUCUCACAGUUCAUGAGCUCAAGCCCCACCUUGGGCUCUGUGCUGACAUUGCAGAGUCUGCUUGGGAUUCUCUCCUCCCUCUCUGUCUGCCACCUUGUUCUCUCUCUCAAAAUAAAUAAAUAACUUAAAAAAAUACAGCCAAAAAGUGUCCUAACCUAUUGGUGCCCAAUUUGUUUUGUAAGCAGCAGAACAGUUCAUGAUAUGAGCUGCUUCAGUGGUUUUCUAUACUUGACACUCAUUUUGUAAACUCUUCUCUCUGAUUUCCUUCAAAUACAAAGAAGACUAAGAUUCUCACUGCAGAAACUCUAGGCUUCCUUGAUCUGACAUGUUUAGAGACUGUUCAGAUGAUAAUGUGGGUGAGCUUCUGAUCUUGAGAAGAUGAUGUGUGCCGUUUAAUUGAGAUUAUAGGUUUAUCACCUUGUUUGUAACUUGCUUCCCCUAAAAAAAUUUGCAGACAGAUGACAUUUUAGACUCUACAGUAAACAUUUAUACCGCAUUACACUGUACUUUGUUAAAAUGAAUUAGAUCAAUUAUUUAAUGGAAAUUAUCUCCAGUUUUAGGCUAUCCCUCCACUUUCCAACUUUUUCAAUGUUAGAAAACUUCUGUGGUACAUGUAACAUACUCUUCAGUAGUCUAUGUCUCAAUUCCCAAACUCUGGUGUCAGAAUCACCUUCAAUGUUUCUUUAAAAAACUGAUGCCUUUGUUGAACCCUAGACCUAUUCCACUAGGUGACUCUGCUCUAAUGUAAAGUUGAGGAACCAGCUAGUUGUGGAUCCAUUCCCCACCCCAGCAGUUCUUUACUUUACAGUUGAAUAUAGAUAUGUGCAGUCAACAUUCAGCAAGCAUUUAUUGUCUACUGUGUGCUAGAGAGUCUAUUAGGUACCAGUGAUCCAAAAUGAAUAAGACAUAUUUUGUCUUUAAGAAGUGUAUCAUACGGGGGCACCUGGGUGGUUCAGUUGGUUAAGCCUCCAACUGUUGAUUUCAGCUCAGGUCGUGAUCUCAUAAUCUGUGGGUUUGAGCCCCAUGUGGGGCUCUGUGCUGACAGUGCAGAGCCUGUUUGGGAUCCUCUCUCUCCCUCUGUCUCUCUGCCCCUUCCCUGCUCUCUCUCUUUCUCAAAAAUAAAAUAAACUUAAAAAAAUGUGUACAAUGCAUGGGAGAUAGAGCUCUAAAGCACAUAACAAUGUGAUAUAUAGUCCACCAGAUAAAUACAAAGUGCAACAGGAACAAAGGGAAAAAAAUAGUCACUUCCCUCAGGAGAGAAGAGGAGGGUACGUUAGUCACAGAAGAUGUGACAUGUGAGCUGUGUUGAAGCAAGUUCUCAGAGAAGUAGACAAAUGUCUUAGAGAAAAAUAAAUAUCCCUGUGCACUCACAAAGAAUGAGAAGUUCUGGUGGCUGGAGGCUACCAUGUAUAAGCGGAAAUCCUGGGUCUUAAUUGAAAAGGGCUUUGUGAAUUAGAGUAAGGAUACUUUCAUACCUAUAGGUGAUGAGAAAUAC